rnacentral:misc_RNA from 1 species
AAGUCGUAACAAGGUUUCCGUAGGUGAACCUGCGGAAGGAUCAUUAGCAAGAGAUUGCCUGUGGCCACUGCUAAUUAGAGUUUGUGGUUUAACAUGGGCAAAUUGCCAUCCUUGUGUUGUGUGAAUUGUCAGUGUAUGUGCCCUAUGGCCUCUUCUGGGACAUGGGCACAUUACUCUCUUUAAACUCUGUCUUUUUUACCUUCUGAACCUCUUUGCAUGCUUGGAAACAGGCAUCAAAAACAACCGAAAACUGCCAGCAAUGGAUCACUCGGUUCUC